UACGUAGGGUGCGAGCGUUAAUCGGAAUUACUGGGCGUAAAGCGCACGUAGGCGGCUCUUUAAGUCUCUUGGUGAAAGGCUGGGGCUCAACCCCAUGCAUGCCGGGGAUACUGGGGAGCUGGAGACAGGUAGAGGCCAGCGGAAUUCCGGGUGUAGCGGUGGAAUGCGUAGAGAUCCGGAAGAACACCGGAGGCGAAGGCGGCUGGCUGGACCUGAUCUGACGCUGAGGUGCGAAAGCGCGGGGAGCGAACAGG
rnacentral:rRNA from 1 species